UACGUAGGGUGCAAGCGUUAAUCGGAAUUACUGGGCGUAAAGCGUGCGCAGGCGGUUUUGUAAGACAGGCGUGAAAUCCCCGGGCUUAACCUGGGAAUGGUGCUUGUGACUGCAAGGCUGGAGUGCGGCAGAGGGGGAUGGAAUUCCGCGUGUAGCAGUGAAAUGCGUAGAUAUGCGGAGGAACACCGAUGGCGAAGGCAAUCCCCUGGGCCUGCACUGACGCUCAUGCACGAAAGCGUGGGGAGCAAACAGG
rnacentral:rRNA from 1 species